GACGAACGCUGGCGGCGUGCUUAACACAUGCAAGUCGAACGGAGAAGCCCCAGCUUGCUGGAGUGGAUCAGUGGCGAACGGGUGAGUAACACGUGAGCAACCUGCCCCUGACUCUGGAAUAAGCGCUGGAAACGGCGUCUAAUACUGGAUACGAGAAGGGUCCGCAUGGGCACUUUCUGGAAAGUUUUUCGGUUGGGGAUGGGCUCGCGGCCUAUCAGCUUGUUGGUGAGGUAAUGGCUCACCAAGGCGACGACGGGUAGCCGGCCUGAGAGGGCGACCGGCCACACUGGGACUGAGACACGGCCCAGACUCCUACGGGAGGCAGCAGUGGGGAAUAUUGCAUAAUGGGCGAAAGCCUGAUGCAGCGACGCCGCGUGAGGGAUGACGGCCUUCGUGUUGUAAACCUCUUUCAGCAGGGAAGAAGCGAAAGUGACGGUACCUUCAGAAGAAGCCCCGGCUAACUACGUG
rnacentral:rRNA from 1 species